rnacentral:rRNA from 1 species
GACGAACGCUGGCGGCGGGCUUAACACAUGCAAGUCGAACGGCAAGGCCCUGCUUUUGUGGUGUGCUCGAGUGGCGAACGGGUGAGUAACACGUGAGUAACCUGCCCUUCACUUUGGGAUAACUUCAGGAAACGGGGGCUAAUACCGUAUAGGAGCUCCUGCUGCGUUGUGGGGGUUGGAAAUUUUCGGCGGGUGGGGCUGGACGCGCGGCUUAUCAGCUUGUUGGUGGGGUAGUGGCUUACCCAGGCUUUGGCGGGUAGCCGGCAGGAGAGGGUGAACGGCCACAAUGGGCCUGAGAUACGGACCAGAGUCCUACGGGAGGCAGCAGUGGGAAAUAUUGCACAAUGGGAGGAAGCCUGAUGAAGCAACGCCGCGUGCGGGAUGACGGCCUUCGGGUUGUAAACCGCUUUCGCCUGUGACGAAGCGUGAGUGACGGUAAUGGGUAAAGAAGCACCGGCUAACUACGUG